rnacentral:rRNA from 1 species
GAUGAACGCUGGCGGCGUGCCUAAUACAUGCAAGUCGAGCGAACAGACGAGGAGCUUGCUCCUCUGACGUUAGCGGCGGACGGGUGAGUAACACGUGGAUAGCCUACCUAUAAGACUGGGAUAACUUCGGGAAACCGGAGCUAAUACCGGAUAAUAUAUUGAACCGCAUGGUUCAAUAGUGAAAGACGGUUUUGCUGUCACUUAUAGAUGGAUCCGCGCCGCAUUAGCUAGUUGGUAAGGUAACGGCUUACCAAGGCAACGAUGCGUAGCCGACCUGAGAGGGUGAUCGGCCACACUGGAACUGAGACACGGUCCAGACUCCUACGGGAGGCAGCAGUAGGGAAUCUUCCGCAAUGGGCGAAAGCCUGACGGAGCAACGCCGCGUGAGUGAUGAAGGUCUUCGGAUCGUAAAACUCUGUUAUUAGGGAAGAACAAAUGUGUAAGUAACUAUGCACGUCUUGACGGUACCUAAUCAGAAGGCCACGGCUAACUACGUG